CUCAGUUCUCAUUCUUCUCCUUCCUGCCACCAUGUGAAGAAGGACGUGUUUGCUUCCCCUUCUACCAUUAUUGUAAGUUUCCUGAGGCUUCCCCAGCCCUGCAGAACUGUUCUUCUUCUGCUGUUACACAACGAAUCCUCUCAAUCCAACCUACUGGGUUCCACCCACACUCAUGCACCUCCUAUUGAAGACAAGUUGUGUGCUGUUAUGCUACUGUGACUUUCGGCAGGCCAUCCUUUUUAUCCCUCCCAGCCUUUUUCCUCUUGAGGAAUUACUAAUUAUCAUAAAAGUCAAUUGUCACCUGUCCUAGAAAGCCUUGUCCAACCACCCCAUAUGCUCUCCUCUACUAUUAUUACUUUGUGUUAGAUUUCUAUUAUAUCAGGCAUAAACACUACAUGAAUUAUUU
rnacentral:lncRNA from 1 species